GACGAACGCUGGCGGCGUGCUUAACACAUGCAAGUCGAACGAUGAAGCCGGAGCUUGCUCUGGUGAAUUAGUGGCGAACGGGUGAGUAACACGUGAGUAACCUGCCCUUGACUCUGGGAUAACUGCUAGAAAUGGUAGCUAAUACCGGAUACGACCCUCGGCGGCAUCGCCAGGGGGUGGAAAGAAUUUCGGUCAAGGAUGGACUCGCGGCCUAUCAGCUAGUUGGUGAGGUAACGGCUCACCAAGGCGACGACGGGUAGCCGGCCUGAGCGGGUGACCGGCCACACUGGGACUGAGACACGGCCCAGACUCCUACGGGAGGCAGCAGUGGGGAAGAUUGCACAAUGGGCGCAAGCCUGAUGCAGCAACGCCGCGUGAGGGAUGACGGCCUUCGGGUUGUAAACCUCUUUUAGUAGGGAAGAAGCGAAAGUGACGGUACCUGCAGAAAAAGCACCGGCUAACUACGUGCCAGCCGCCGCAGUAA
rnacentral:rRNA from 1 species